CAACAACAAGCGAGUGUGUCUCAGGGAAGAAGACAUGAGUGCUGAUAAACUCAGUCGCAUAUUUCAGGUCUCAUCUCGUAGUCUGUACAUGACUGACGACGCAUUGUUUGGCAUUGUUUCCUGGGGCAUCUGGUGUUUUCAGCUCAUUGGACCUCAAUCCAAGGACUCAUUAUGAGGUUCAUGGUGAGGCUGAGGACACCUCAGGACCUGCAAAUAGCACAGGGCAACGUUUUUCAUUUAUGCGCACGCCUGCAACCACUACAAGUUCAACUCCACAGCGGACUGCCUCAGCCCCCCCUCGAGCCACUGUCUCUAAAACCUUUCACAGAUCAGUGUACCUCGCUGAGGUGGUUGGUGGGAGGUUGAACGGUGGUGGUCCAGUUUUUGGAAUGUGAGGCUACCCUGCAGGGGAUCAUCGGAAAAGUACAAGAUGCCAUUGGAAAUCAUGACCCUGUGGUGUUGACUGAUGCGCAAGGGAAUGCAAUUUUGGAGUCAGAAGGAACAACAGGGUCACAGUACUGGAAACAAAAUGCACGAAAGAUUCUUGCUGUACGAGAACAGGACUUGCAGGAGUUGCAGGACAAAAAAAGGAGGAGAACAAGCCGAAAAGAUGAAGAUGCUACAGGCAUUGGAGAUGUCACUGAGAAAGUAGAAGAGCUUGUACUGGCAGCACAGAGCCUACCAGAUGUCACUGCAGCAAUCAGAGAGCUCACCAGUCUGGCUACCACUCAAAAAGUCAUCCUGACUCCGUCCCAGCUACAGGCCAUCAAGCAAGGGUUCUGCUGUGUUGUUU